CCUACGGGUGGCUGCAGUGGGGAAUAUUGGACAAUGGGCGAAAGCCUGAUCCAGCCAUGCCGCGUGUGUGAAGAAGGCCUUCGGGUUGUAACGCACUUUCAGUGGGGAAGAAAGCCUUGGGGCUAAUACCCUCGAGGAAGGACAUCACCCACAGAAGAAGCACCGGCUAACUCCGUGCCAGCAGCCGCGGUAAUACGGAGGGUGCGAGCGUUAAUCGGAAUUACUGGGCGUAAAGCGCGCGUAGGCGGUCUGAUAAGCCGGUUGUGAAAGCCCCGGGCUCAACCUGGGAACGGCAUCCGGAACUGUCAGGCUAGAGUGCAGGAGAGGAAGGUAGAAUUCCCGGUGUAGCGGUGAAAUGCGUAGAGAUCGGGAGGAAUACCAGUGGCGAAGGCGGCCUUCUGGACUGACACUGACGCUGAGGUGCGAAAGCGUGGGUAGCAAACAGGAUUAGAUACCCCAGUAGUC
rnacentral:rRNA from 1 species